GAAUGAUAGGGAUAUAGGCCUUUCAGGAUGAAAGAGAGCCAAUACCAAGGAAGGGAGACAUAGACUCAUUGCAUAGGAUGGCAAUGGCACAGGGAGUGCAAUUGAAUGGAUGCAAUACCCGUUUCAUGGAUGAUGAUGGAACCGCUCAGGAAAGAGCAAGCUUGGGACUGGAUGACCAAGAGAUAGGGAAGUACAUGAGUACAGGGACCUCAAGGAUUGAGCAAGGAUGAAGCAGGACGCAGAUUGACGCAUGGAUGGUGCAGGGAGCACAAAAAUAGCGGGAUAGCUUAACAGAGAAUAGGAGGGCGUGGCUUUAGGGCCGCGCCCUUUCUUUUUUAU
rnacentral:misc_RNA from 1 species